GAUGAACGCUAGCUACAGGCUUAACACAUGCAAGUCGCAGGGUAACAUGAGGAAAGCUUGCUUUCCUUGAUGACGACUGGCGCACGGGUGAGUAACGCGUAUCCAACCUUCCCAUAACUACGGGAUAACCCGUUGAAAGACGGCCUAAUACCGUAUGAUAUCGUUUGCUGACAUCAAAUAACGAUUAAAGGUUUAGCGGUUAUGGAUGGGGAUGCGUCUGAUUAGCUUGUUGGCGGGGUAACGGCCCACCAAGGCGACGAUCAGUAGGGGUUCUGAGAGGAAGGUCCCCCACAUUGGAACUGAGACACGGUCCAAACUCCUACGGGAGGCAGCAGUGAGGAAUAUUGGUCAAUGGGCGAGAGCCUGAACCAACCAAGUAGCGUGCAGGACGACGGCCCUAUGGGUUGUAAACUGCCUUUAUGUGGGGAUAAAGUGCGUGACGUGUCAUGCAUUGCAGGUACCACAUGAAUAAGGACCGGCUAAUUCCGUG
rnacentral:rRNA from 1 species